AUUGAACGCUGGCGGCAGGCCUAACACAUGCAAGUCGAGCGGAUGAAGGGUGCUUGCUCCUGGAUUCAGCGGCGGACGGGUGAGUAAUGCCUAGGAAUCUGCCUGGUAGGGGGGGAUAACGUCCGGAAACGGGCGCUAAUACUGCAUACGUCCUGAGGGAGAAAGUGGGGGAUCUUCGGACCUCUCGCUCUCAGAUGAGUCUAGGUCGGAUUAGCUAGUUGGUGGGGUAAAGGCCUACCAAGGCGACGAUCCGUAACUGGUCUGAGAGGAUGAUCAGUCACACUGGAACUGAGACACGGUCCAGACUCCUACGGGAGGCAGCAGUGGGGAAUAUUGGACAAUGGGCGAAAGCCUGAUCCAGCCAUGCCGCGUGUGUGAAGAAGGUCUUCGGAUUGUAAAGCACUUUAAGUUGGGAGGAAGGGCAGUAAGUUAAUACCUUGCUGUUUUGACGUUACCAGGAGAAUAAGCACCGGCUAACUUCGUG
rnacentral:rRNA from 1 species